rnacentral:lncRNA from 1 species
UCCACAUUGGACACACAGGAAGAGCUCACUGAAGACUUGGGGGAAGAGGGGUGGCAGGUGGAUGGUGGCAGGUGGUGAGUGGGUAAGCAGACCAGGAGGGGACAUGGCUCUGGGAGGGCCAUGCUAUUCCUGAGCCCUCUUGCCCCGUGUCUCCCCAGGUGUGUCCCCAGCCGCAGCUGCUAAAGCAGCGAAAUUCGGUGCUGGAGCCGGGGGCCUGGGCAUUGGCGGCAAACCUCCCAAGCCCUACGGAGGGGCCCUGGGAGCCCUGGGAUUCCAAGGUGAGUAGAGACUCAGAGAGGGCAGGGUGGGGA